rnacentral:rRNA from 1 species
AACGAACGCUGGCGGCAGGCUUAACACAUGCAAGUCGAACGCAUCCUUCGGGGUGAGUGGCAGACGGGUGAGUAACGCGUGGGAACGUGCCCUUCAGUUCGGGAUAACCCAGGGAAACUUGGGCUAAUACCGGAUACGUGCGAGAGCAGAAAGAUUUAUCGCUGAAGGAUCGGCCCGCGUCUGAUUAGCUAGUUGGUGGGGUAAUGGCCCACCAAGGCGACGAUCAGUAGCUGGUCUGAGAGGAUGAUCAGCCACAUUGGGACUGAGACACGGCCCAAACUCCUACGGGAGGCAGCAGUGGGGAAUAUUGGACAAUGGGCGAAAGCCUGAUCCAGCAAUGCCGCGUGAGUGAUGAAGGCCUUAGGGUUGUAAAGCUCUUUUACCCGGGAUGAUAAUGACAGUACCGGGAGAAUAAGCUCCGGCUAACUUCGUGCCAGCAGCCGCGGUAA